rnacentral:tRNA from 12 species
GCGACACUAGCUCAGUUGGUAGAGCGCAACCUUGCCAAGGUUGAGGUCACGAGUUCGAACCUCGUGUGUCGC